CUGGCAGAGGUGGUUGGGGCUAUGUGCCUGGAGUGAAGAUUCUGCCCAUUGGUCAAGAGACCUCCCUCUCAGAUGCUGGCUCUGCCCCUGCCUUUGGGGGUCGACCCUUGUACUCGCAGGACCUUAGGUGACUCUAUUCUACUUCUCUGAUCAUCCAGGAAGCCAACCUGCCUGAGGACGAGUCAUACUCUGUCCUCCCACCCCAGGCCAGAGAGUGGUAUCUGUCUGUCCACAAGUUCAGCUACAACUAAGAAGAAUACGCUUCUUGUCAAGAUGGCACAUAUGCACAGGCUACCGGCUGUCUCCUCCAGUAUCCUGGAAAAACUACAAGAAAACAUGGAUUCCAGGAAACAGUAACUACAACACAGAAUAUAUGAGAAAAUCCCACAGAUAGAGGGCUGUUUUGAACUGUUUCCCAUGACUGCAGAAAACAAAAGACUCCAGACAGCAAACAAAACAAAAAACACCCCAAGACACCAAACAAAACACAGUUAAAACCAGUGGGCCAGGGCUCAGCCCACGAUGCUCUGCAGGGAAAGGUAGUUGCUGGUACCUGUAAGGGAAUAUCAGCUCAAAGGCCAAGACAGCUAGAUACCUGAGAAGGUCUAUCAUCUGCCCCACAAAAGACAACAAACUGAAUAACACAUAUAUUUUAAGCAACUGUACUUUGCUUAAAAAAAGAUUAGACAGACCAGGAACUUAAAACAAGCAUGAUAAUACUUAAGGAGG
rnacentral:antisense_RNA from 1 species